GACGAACGCUGGCGGCGUGCUUAACACAUGCAAGUCGAAGGUAGUGGCGAACGGGUGAGUAAUACGUGGGUAACCUGCCCUCCUGUUUGGGCUAAGCCUUGGAAACGGGGUCUAAUACCGAAUUAAGGGGGAUGGGUGCGCUGCCUAUCAGCUUGUUGGUGGGGUGCUGGCCUACCAAGGCGGUGACGGGUAGCCGGCCUGAGAGGGGGACCGGGAACAUAGAGACGGACCUACGGCCCAGACGAGGAAGGGAGGGGGCAGUUGGGGAUAUUGGAGAAUGGGCGAAGGACUGAUGCAGCGAGGCCGCGUGGGGCAUUAAGGUUGUCGGGUAGUAAAAGUCUUUCGCUAUCGAACGGGUAGGUGGAGAAGAAGCGCCGGCUAACUACGUGCCAGCAGCCGCGGUAAUUC
rnacentral:rRNA from 1 species